rnacentral:rRNA from 1 species
UACGUAGGGGGCAAGCGUUGUCCGGAAUCAUUGGGCGUAAAGAGCGUGUAGGCGGCCAGAAAAGUCCGCUGUGAAAACUCGAGGCUCAACUUCGAGCUGUCGGUGGAAACUUUCUGGCUAGAGUCCGGAAGAGGAGAAUGGAAUUCCUGGUGUAGCGGUGAAAUGCGCAGAUAUCAGGAAGAACACCCGUGGCGAAGGCAGCUCGCUGGGACGUUACUGACGCUGAGACGCGAAAGCGUGGGGAGCAAACAGG